GUCGGAAUUGCUGUAAUCGCGGAUCAGCAUGCCGCGGUGAAUACGUUCCCGGGCCUUGUACACACCGCCCGUCACGCCAUGGGAGCCGGUAAUACCCGAAGUCAGUAGUCCAACCUCGUGAGGACGCUGCCGAAGGUAGGAUUGGCGACUGGGGUGAAGUCGUAACAAGGUACC
rnacentral:rRNA from 1 species